AGUGAACGCUGGCGGUAGGCCUAACACAUGCCAGUCGAACGGCAGCACAGUAAGAGCUUGCUCUUACGGGUGGCGAGUGGCGGACGGGUGAGGAAUACAUCGGAAUCUACUUUUUCGGGGGGGAUAACGUAGGGAAACUUACGCUAAUACCGCAUACGACCUACGGUUGAAAGCAGGGGAUCUUCGGACCUUGCGCGAUUGAAUGAGCCGAUGUCGGAUUAGCUAGUUGGCGGGGUAAAGGCCCACCAAGGCGACGAUCCGUAGCUGGUCUGAGAGGAUGAUCACCCACACUGGAACUGGGACACGGUCCAUGCUCCUACGGGAGGCAGCAGUGGCGAAUAUUGGACAAUGGGCGCAAGCCUUGUACAGCCAUACCGCGUGGGUGAAGAAGGCCUUCGGGUUGUAAAGCCCUUUUGUUGGGAAAGAAAAGCAGCAGGUUAAUACCCAGCUGUUCUGACGGUACCCAAAGAAUAAGCACCGGCUAACUUCGUG
rnacentral:rRNA from 1 species